rnacentral:rRNA from 1 species
UUUAAGCAUAUCACUCAGUGGAGGAAGCGCAAGCAACUGCGAUUGCUUCAGUAACGGCGAGUGAAUGGGCAACAGAUGUCUCAGCCCGAAGCGAGUUCCCACGCGUUCUGAACGCGCGGCUCUGAGGGGCUCCUGCGAAAGCAGUUGAUGUGGGCUAUGGAGCAGGUGGCUGUGUCUUGGCUGGUCAUGCAUCAGGAAGAAGCCUGGAAAGGCUCACGCGAGAGGGAUACUGUCUCAUAUGCAAAGUGCAUGCUGACCAGUCGGAUGUGGCUGCUUGUAUCCAGGAGUAGAGUGGCUUGGGACUGCAGUUUGAAGCGCGAGGUGUAUCCCUCGCAAGGAAGAACACCGACAUGGGACCGAUAGCGCACAAGUAGAGUGAUUGAAGGAUGCAAAGUACUCUGCGAAGAGAGUUAAAGAGUGCCUGAAGCCUCAGCAGGAACGGCGGAGAGUGAUGCUGUGGAAUGAAGGAUCCAUGGUCAACUGACUGACGGUCAGGACUGUUAUGGCGAAGACCACAGGCAGUGGGCCUGGACCUGGAGAGCACCAAGCAACCUUGGGCCAGCCCAGAGCUGGCGUCUGAGCUCCGUCCCCAAGGAUGGGAUGCAAUCGAUGUAGCUUGUGGUGGCAAUCAGCUUGCCAGGGCCUGAGGUUCACAGAGAUCUCAGAGCAGAGAGGCCGCAUGGAAUGGGCACAGCUUGUGAAAGCCCAAUUGGGCGUGCCCAGCGAGCCUGAAGUGAAGGAAUGGUGCUUGACACCUGGUGCGUCUCCGGACGUGCCAGUGGCUGUGCAGAAGACUUGGGUGAGCUAGGCAGAUCAUGGUGGCUGCAUCACCUUGGUGGUGGCCCUGUGUGACGUCAGCUCCCCAGAGGAUGCAUGGACAGAAAGCAGCUGAGCUUGGUACAGCAGUGCCACUCUCUGCCCGUCUUGAAACACGGACCAAGGAGUCUAUGGAGCUUGCAGAUUUGCAGAUGCAAAACCACAAGGUGUGGUGAAGGCAAGAUCCCAGAUGGUGCAUGGUCACAGAGGCUGGAACAUGUGGAAUGUAUGUGCGACAGCAGCCCCAAUGGGGUAUUGUGAGAUCACUGCAUGGGAACCAGGCCCGAAGUCCAGUGGACUGGGUUCGGAGUGAUUGCAAGGUCCAUGGGACCCGAAAGGUGGUGAACUAUACCGUUCUAUGACGAAGCCGUGGGAAACUGCGGUGGAGGUCAGUCGCUGUUCUGACGUGCAAAUUGUGUAGCCUGAGUGCGGCAUAGGGGUGAAAGGCCAAUCGAGCCACCUAGUAGCUGGUUUCCCUCGAAGUUUCCCUCAGGAUAGCUGGGCUCAGAUGCAGUCACUGAGUGAUUACGUCCGGUAAAGCAACGCAUGAGAGGCAACUCCGGGAAGGCUUCCCUUCUCGACCUAUUCUCGAACUGUGAAUGGGCGUGGCGCCCAAAGGCAUGCUUCUUCACUGUGCUGGAGUCUGUGUCAAAGCAGUUCUCCUCAGCUGCUGAGCGUGUUUGUGAUCAGCAAUCCUCGAGGGAGAGCCCUUAAGCAAGGCCUCCCGAGAGGCGCAGCAAAACUGGGCGAAAGGUUGCUGCAAAGUUGAACAGCAGUGCCUAUGUGGACCAGGAUUGGUAAGCAGUGCUGGUGAUGCGGGGUGCUCCGAGAGUGGGCUUACAGAUCCGGAGUGCUGGCUCAUACCCAGAUCCCACAAAGGAUGUUGCCUGCUAGAGAUAGCAGGACGGUGGCCAUGAAGGUUGGAACCCGCUAAGGAAUGUGUAACAACUCACCUGCCGAAGCGUGCAGCUCCGAAAAUGGAUGGUGCCCAAGUCAGCGAAGCUAAAUUCGUCUCACAGCUCACCGCUGCUGUGGCAGCAAAGCAGAGCAUCAGCGUGUAGAAGGACAUGGGAGAUUGCAGAGCAAGUGGGGUUUGAACCUCACUGGAGUGUCUUCUGGCGCAGAUCUUGGUUGUAGUAGCGAAUACUCCAUCGAGUGAAGAGCGGAACGACGCCGUUGUGUGCGGUUGAGGACAGGAGUGGAGCAGGUUUCCGCACCAAACAGCCGUUGAAUGCGGGUCAGCCGACCGUGAGCCAAGUGGUAAAUUCACUGAACAACCAAAGCUGUCAUGGCCCUUGGGCAAACAGAGGCACUGCACCCAGGUGACCUGCAAAGGCACCAACGUUUGAGGCAAAGGGGCAAGUGGCCUAGGAUCUUGGAGUGUUUGACAGGAGUGGCAAACAGGCAAGCACGUGCAACAUUCUGCUGCGAUGGACUUGGAGUGACUUUUGGAUGGCGACAUCCAUGUACCGGAACAAGCAGGCUUAGGGGCAGUGCACCCCUCGAGGAGUUAUCGUUUCCUCCUGAUGCAGACCCAUGUGGGCUAUCGAUUGGCAUGACAGAUGGUGGUGUAUGCCCUCCGUUCAGCAAGACAGCGUACCCUUCACGCUGGUGGCCUUGUGAAAGAGUGACCUGAGGCGAGCCGAGUACAAAGGAUGCUGCCUGUAACACUCGGUGGUCACUGGCCCCAAUGAAAGGCCUGUGGGGCACGUUUUCCUGGUUCCAGUGCCCUCGUACUGAAUCACCGCAGCCGGUCUCCUCGGCUAGACGCCGCUUGUUGACGGACGAAAUGCAGCUAAGGGAAGUCGGCAAACUGGCCAUGUACCUUUGGAAGAUGUGGUGGCUCCAAAGGCCAGGGCGCAGGGCCCUGCUGCUGGCUGUGUGGGGCGGAGAUGGCCAUCCUGUCGUGGUGGUCAACCCCAUCGCGCAGGAAAGGCUGACCCUGCCAGCACAGUCUCGCGGCGGGGGGUCGUUCAGCCGCAAGGCUGGGCGUGCCCAUCCCUGUGUCAACAAAGUGGCUCAUGUGGAACUGUUGCUGUGCAGGGGAAUCUGACUGUUUAAUUGAAACACAGCUUUGUGAAGGGUCCAGCUGGCUGGUCCCAUGAGGUGACUUCUGCCCAGUGCUCUGAUUGUCAAUGCGAAGAGAUUCAGCCAAGCGCGGGUAAACGGCGGGAGUAACUAUGACUCUCUUAAGGUAGCCAAAUGCCUCGUCAACCAAUUAUUGACGCGCAUGAAUGGAUCAACGAGAUUCCUGCUGUCCCUAGUUGCUGUCUGGUGAACCAACAGCCAAGGGAACGGGCUUGGAUGU